rfam:Asian citrus Psyllid, Diaphorina citri - Florida Strain, whole genome shotgun sequence.
ACCGGCGAUAGCACGUUGAAUGCACGUUUACCAGUGCCCAAUGAAUCACUGAGGUUAAUACACGUUGCGCGUGGUUGGUAUAGGGAUGGGUGACCAUCUGGACAAUCUCGUGCGACCUUUC